CUCAUCCGCAUUAACCGAGAACAACGUCGGUGCUCUCUCAACCACCUCCCAGGGGCGCUCGAGCUCCGAAACCGCCGCCUUGAGCUCAGCUCUCUUUCGCAUUUCGUAAAUUUGUCUCUCGCGGCAGAGCCGAGCUUUUAGAAGCUGUUUAGCUUUCUUCGCUUGCAUUCGCUUCCAUUGCCACUUGGAUACUCCGCCUGGGUACGUUCUGGGCCCGCCGCCCAUGCGGAUUAUAGUAGUUUUGAGGGGAACGGGUGAGGU
rnacentral:misc_RNA from 1 species